rnacentral:lncRNA from 1 species
UUUUUUUUUCUAACGGAGCUUCCUUCGUAGUGUGCUUUCUGUUGCUGCCUCAUUAAAAACCAUGCCAGAAAAACCCAAUUGGGAAAAAACUGGACAAAGAAAAAAAGAGUGCAGCACACACUUUCAGUAUAGGCGAGGCUCAUCAACAAUAGUAUCUCUUGAGGUGUGCCACAUUCCAGUUACUCGGCAACUUUUCUCCAUAUUGAUUUUCUAACUCGUAUGACCAUUUCUUGGUGACAACUGCAACCCGGUAGGGGCCUUCCCAUGUUGGACUUAGCUUCCCUGCAUUGAGCUCCCGGGUGUUCUGACUUACUUUCCUUAAAACCAAGUCUCCUAAUUUUAAAUAACAGAGGUUGGCUCUUCGAUUGUAAUAUCUUUCCAUUCUCUGCUUUUGGGCAACCAUCCUUAUAUGCGCCAAGUCCCUGCAUUCAUCGAGCAGCUCCAAUUUGACCAAUAUUUCUUCAUUGUUUGUUUCUUCGUCCGCCCGAAAAUAUCUCAAGGUAGGUUCCCCUACUUUCACCGAAAUCAAGGCUUUCGCUCCGUACACAAGAGAAAAAGGAGUCCCCCCGUGCUUGAUUUGGUUGUUGUCCGGUACGCCCAUAGUACUCCUGGCAGCUCUUCGGGUCAUUUGCCUUUGGAUGCUUCGAUUCUCUUUUUGAAAUUUUGUAUAAUCACCUUGUUUGUUGAUUUUGCUUGACCGUUUGUGCUCGGAUGAUAAGGUGAUGAUAUGAUCCUUUUUAUUUUUAAGUCUUCAAGGAACUUUGUGACCUUUGCGCCUAUAAAUUAUGGCCCGUUGUCAUAGGCUAUCUCCUUUGGUAUCCAAAAUUUGUAAAUUAUAUUCUCCCACAAGAAAUCUAUCACUUUGUGUUUGCCGAUCUUCUGAUAAGGACCUGCUUCAACCCACUUAGAAAAAUAGUAGUUAAAAUCAAAAGAAAUCUUACCUUAUCGGGGGCCGGUGUCAGCAUAUUAACUAUAUCCAUUCCCCACUUUAUGAACGGCCAUGGCCAUAAAACUGAGUGUAGUGGCUCUGCCAGUUGAUGUACCAAUGGCACGUAGUGUUGAAAUUUAUCACAUUUUUGAACAUAAACUUUGGCAUCUUGUUCCAUCCAGGGCCAGUAGUAUCCUGCCUUAAUUAAUAUUAACACCAAGGAAUCCGCGCCUGAGUGAUUUCUGUAGAUCCCUUCGUGGACUUCUCGCACAACAUAAUUAGCUUUGGAAGCUCCCAAACAUCGAGCCAACGGGCCUUGGAAAGAUCUUCUGUAUAAUUGACCUCCCUUGAAACUAUAUCGUGCUGUUUUAGUGCAUAGUGCCCGAUAUGCCUUAGUAUCUUCAGGCAAUUUUUCGUGCUCGAGAUAGUCAAUGAUCUCAUUCUUCAGUCCCAAACCAAAUUUUCCGAGUUUACCUCCUAAUAGCUAUCCAUAUCCAAUAUCAAAUGCAUAAGAUGUAUGACCGUAUCGGAGUUCGAUCCCUUUAUUUCCGUGGAUGAUCCAUGAUUAGAUAGUGCAUCUGCUUCCGCACUCUCUUCCUCGGGAUUUUCAUAAUUGACCAUUCCCUGAACCGAGCAAGCAGAGCCUAGACUUUCACUACAUAUUGUUGCAUGCAUUCCCCUUUGACUUCGAAGAUCCCGUAGACCUGAUUUACUACCAAUUGGGAGUCACAUUUGAUUUCUAUGACCUUGGAGUUCAGUCCCCGGGCCAGCUCGAGUCCUGCUGUAAGGCCCCGUAUAAUUUCGCCAAGGAAUUUAACUUUUGUGGUGCCGAGGUAGGGUAAUAUGUAUGGAGGUAGUAGUUAAUGCAUCGAGUUGUUGGUGGAAAAUUGUUUGCUGAAGGGUCAAUUAUGCAGUCAGUUUCGCGACCGCAAAACCGUUAGUUAAGCAAAAAAUUAGUUGAAUUUUGAAGGUCGUUUUGCGGUCCAUUCUGCGAUCGCAUAUCCAUUUUACGGUCCGCACUUCUGUCGUAGAUUUGGUAUUAAGAAUUUUGGAGAGUAACUGUGCGGUCCACUCUGCGGCCGCAUAAGUGGUCUGCGGACCGCAGACCUAUUGCAAACCGAUUCAGGCCAGCCCAGUUUUUGAAGUUAAUUUCGCGGUCCUUUAUGCAGACCACAUAUAUGUUCUGCGGUCCAUUCUGCGAUCGUAGUCCUGAAUUCGGAGGGUCCAUUUUUUUAUUUUUAUAAUCCGAUCCCAUUUUGAUAAAUAGACUUUGGGGCUGAUUUUGAAGCAAAUGUCUGAUGCUUUUAGAGAGAAGUAAGAGUAUUUUAGAGAGAGAAGGAGAAGGCCUAGCAUUAUAAUCUCCCAUUCUUGCACCAAUCUUCAAAAAUCAUGGAAGCUACUCACUAGACCACUAUUUAUCCGGGUAAGUUCUUUUCCUACAUUACCCAUGCAAGUUAUUUUAGGGUCUAAGUAUAUUGUGAGAUUGAAAAUAGGCCAUGCAUGUGACAAUAGGUUAUAGUAUGUGGGGUUGUUGAACUAUUUUGAGUAGUUUCUUGUUGAAAUUGGUUGAGGGAGGAAGGGAUUACUAUUGUAGAGUUUUGUAGUCGAUUUUGCAUAUUAGGUGUUUGACAUAAUUUCUAAGAGAGUUACACCAUGAGAAUCCCUCUAAUUAUUGUCCGAUUUUUGCUAUCUUCCUAUAGAUUGAUAUUGCUAGAAGUGUUGGGACAUUGUAGUAACUUAAGAAAAGCUCAAACAAGGUAUGUUGGCUAAACUUGUCUCUUAGAAUCGAAUUCCAAGAUGUUCCCAUAAAGUUCAAGUAUGGAUGGCCCAUGUUCCUAAUUCCCAUGUUCCGAGUUAUUCAUUAUAUAUUUGACUAUUCCGAAUAAGCUUGUGUUGAAAGAUAUAUACUAAAAAUGUGCACCAAAUUCCUCUAUCAUCUUGUGUUCUCCGUCGGGAAUGUAUCCUAGUGUGACCAAUAUGUUGAAAUCGUAUGAUUUCAAAUCAUGUUUAAAUUGCAAGUUGUUGUGCCCAAUUUCAUUGUGCCUAAGACCUUUAUUGUUCAUAUUUAUGCUUAAGGCUUGGAUUCCAAAUGCUCUUAUUGAUGAUGAGCUAUAAACAUGUUUGAAUGUGAAAGAUAUGAGAGUGAGACAUAAAACAUGGCCAUGGUUGUUGUAACUGGUGCAUUUGAUUUGAAGUCGUGUUUAAAUCGUAAAUCACCAUGCUCUCCUUUAUAAAUAUUUCUAAUGUGAUUUGAGUUCUUACUUACUCAAGAGUUGAAAUUGUGUAUUGCCUAUUGGGAAGAAGUAUUUCAAAAAAAUACGGUGUAUUACUCGUUUAUGAUUUAUAACUUGUGUUGCGAUUGCAAGUCAUUGUGCUCCAUACUUUGGGAAGGGAUCUAUUAUGUUUAAAGCCUUCAUUACUAAUGAACCUAAAGUGGUGAUUUCAAGAAUGUUCUAUAUGUUGAUGUUUAUGUUGAUGAUCAUUGAAAGUAGAGAAAUAAAAGCGUGGAAUAUGAAAUACUUCCAUCGUGCCAUGAAAGAAGAAUCAUACGUAUGGCCAAUAGAGCCAAGGAAAUAAUGAUGUUGUGAAUUAUUGAAAGUACUAAUAAAACUAUAUAAAUGUUGAAAGGUUAUGAGGUGUAUGUAUUUGUAUUUCUAUUUCCUUUGUAUGCAAAGCAAAAAUAUUUUUGGGAGUAUCAUUAGCGAACCAAGGAAGGGUGGGUUAUAACGGCCCACACCUGAAACUACACAUGUCGGUCUAGGAGUGGAUUGUGAUUAUUCCCCUUAUUUAGGAUGAGAUUGAUGUGAUUGAAAUUAUUCCCCUUAAUUGGGAUGAGAUAAUUGCUAGCGAAGGUUGAUGUCGAUCCACACGAUAUUGUGGUGAGACGGCCUAGCCGAUCGGGUCGUGAUCGGACGCCAUGUCCCUCAAAUGGUGGUGAGAUUGUUAUUGAGAGUGUGCUUGUGAUUGGAUGUCUUUGGGUGAGAUGGCCUAGCCGGUCGGGCCGUGACCAAACUCCGUGCUAAAAAUACGGUGGUAUAUCAGUGCUAAUGAUCUCCCAACCAAAAAUAAUAAUAUUAUUUCGUACUUCGAAAAUUAUUACGUUAUAACUUGACAUUUGGAUAUCAUUGAUUGUUACUUGUUACUUCCAUGGUGUUUCCCCUUCUUAUAUUAGCGUUCUAUUUCGAAAGAGGACAUUUAACUUUACAUACUAGUACUAUUCCACAUGUACUAACGUCCCUUUUGACGGGGGCAUGUGGUUCAUCAACGAGCAGUUUUGAUCCUCGAUAGCAGUUACUCUCUAUUCAGUAGAUUUUGGUGAGCCCUACUCUGUUCCGGGCUUCAUGUCAUUUGACGUUUCACUUUAUGUUUUGAGGUAUAAUUGGGGCCUUGUCACUGACACUUCCAUAAUACUCUUCUGUUGUACUUAGAGGCUCCCUAGAUAAGUUGUGGGUAGUGUUUGGUGUUGGGAAUUAAACUAGAAGUGUUGGUAUUUGGCAAACAUAUUUUUUAUCAUAUCUAUAAACCAGUAAUAUUUUGGAAAUCAUAAAUGAAUCUUUUUUGAAUAAUGGGAAAAGAAUGUGGAGCACUUUACUCUUCUAAUGUAUAUCUCUUGUUAUUGAUUUUAUGUUGUUCAUGGGUAAGGUUGGAUAGAAGGCAUCAAGUAGGCUUGCUUGACCGGGGUAUCUCGGUUGAGCGCCAGUCGCGCUCCCCAAGGCCGGGGCAUGAGACCUGCAAUCAAAGCUUCAUACUCUGCUUCAUUAUUAGUUCGAGGAACCAUUCUUAUGGCCUACCUUAGGGUUUCUCCCAAGGGACUGUGCCGAGCCCGGACCCCUUCACAUUGGAAGCUCCAUCCGUGAGCAAGGUCCAAACUCUCGAUGCCGAUUCCGACACCAUCACUGCUCCUUUGGUAGCCAAAGGUAACAGACUUGGACUGAAAUCAGCCACAAAGUCGGCCAAAACUUGCGACUUAAUCAUAGUCCUAGGUUUAUACUCUAUAUCAAAUUCACUCAUUUCGAUGGCCCAUUUGGCUAGCCUACCUGAAAGUUCAGAUUUGUGAAGAAUAUUCCGCAAGGAAAAAGUGGUCACCACGGCUAUCGAGUGACAUUGAAAAUAAGGCCUUAGCUUUUGAGCGGCGACUACGAUGGCUAAGGCCAUUUUUUCCAGAUGUGGGUAGCGAGUUUCUAUUCCCGUUAAAAUUUUACUAACAUAAUAGAUAGGAGAUUGCGUACCUUCGUCCUCAUGGACUAAAACGACACUUACCGCUACCUCUAAGACUGCUAAGUAGAUCAAUAAAUGUUUGUCUUCCUCCGAUUUUGACAUUAGUGUAGGUCUUGACAAAUACCUUUUCAAAUCCUUCAAAGCUUGCUGACAUUCCGGAGUCCAUUCGAAGUUCUUCUUCUUUUUGAGUAGUGAAAAGAAAUGAUGGCAUUUCUCCGAAGACCGGGAAAUAAACCUGCUCAAAGCGGCCAGUCUCUCUGUUAAUCUUUGAACCUCUUUCACGCUUGAUAGCUGGUCCAAGAUGUAUUCGAUAGCUUUAAUUUUAUCGGGGUUAACCUUGAUCCCUUUUUGCGACACCAGGAAUCCCAGUAACUUACCGGAGUUGGCCCCGACUGCACACUUCUCGGGAUUAAGCUUCAUGUUAUGCUUCAUUAAGAUGUCAAAGUUUUCUUGCAAGUUUUUAAGAUGAUCACAUGCGUUCAAGGACUUAACCAACAUAUCAUCUAUGUAAACCUCCAUAGUUUUCCCUAUUUAUUUCUCAAACAUUUUGUUUACGAGCUGUUGAUAAGUGGCUCUGGCGUUCUUUAGCCCGAAAGGCAUCACAUUAUAACAAUAUAUGCCAAAAUUCUUUACGAACGAAGUUUUUUCCUAAUCCUCCGGGUUCAUCUUGAUUUGGUUAUACCUGGAGUAAGCAUCGAGAAAACUCAUUAACUCAUGCCCGGCCGUCGCAUCAAUUAUUUGAUCAAUGUUUAGCAAUGGGAAUGAGUCCUUUGGACAUGUCUUAUUUAAAUCCUUAUAGUCUACCCACAUGCAAAAUUUAUUAUUCUUCUUUGGAACUACUACUAUGUUAGCUAACCGGUCUAGAUACUUUAACUCUCGAAUUGAACCGAUAUCAAUCAAACAAGUUACCUUUUCUUUGACGAGUUUGUUUCUAACCUCGACAAUAGGAUAUUUUUUCUGUCUUACCGGAUGGAUGUUGGGAUCGAGGCUUAGUUUGUGAACGACCACUUCUGGUGGGAUACCUGUCAUAUCCGCAUAUGGCCAUGCAAAACAGUCAUCAUUAAAUUUAAGAAAUUCAAUAAAUCCAGACCUGAGCUCGGGUUUUAGUCUUGUCCCCAAGUGGAACUUACUCUCCAAGAACUUUUUGAACAAUGCGACUUGUUCAAAUUCUUCCACUGUGGAUUUUGUUGUUCCGUUUCUUCUGGUACCUGGAAGUAUCUUGGUAACUGAUAGGAUUCCGACGACUGCUCCCCCUAGUUGACUUCGCUCUGCUCGGAAGCAUGCGUCAGUUCCUGUAAUUACUAUGCUGCAUGCUCCUUUCUUUUGCUACUGGAAACUGAGAUUACAUUCAUCCCCCUUGCUGCCGGUUGGUCACCUCUUAUUUAUUUAAUUCCCUUAGGAGUUGGUAAUUUCAGCAAUUGAUGAUUUGUUGACAGCUCAACCUUUAUUUCGUGCAACCAUGGUCUCGCUAGGAUAAUGUUAUAACCCAUAUCGCCGUCCACUACCUCAAAAAAGGUCGUCUUCAUCACCCCCUCGACAUUUGUUAGUAGCAGGAUCUCUCCUCGAAUUUUCACGCUCGCUAGGUUGAACCCGACAAGGAGUUUUGUGGCCGGAAUGAUACUUCCGGUGAGCUUGGCUUGCUCCAACACUCUCCACUGGAUAAUAUUGGCUGAACUUCCGGGGUCCACCAAAAUACGUUUAAUUUUAAAAUCUAAGACAUUUAAAGAGAUUACCAAUGCAUCAUUGUACGGCAGCAGUAUCCCAUCUGCGUCUUCCACUGUGAAAGUAGUGUCAUCCUCAGCGAUUUCCUGGAGUCUCUUACUGUGGGUUAGUGACAACUUCUUUUUUUUGCCGCCGAAAAUAUCACUCUCGCCCCUCUCCCUGAAAAUUAGUUGAUCAUCAAGUGUGGGGGAUCUUCUCCUGCUUUCGAAGGCUCCGCUUUAUCCCUAUUGCGGCCAUAAUUAUCUUUGGCCUGAUCGAUCAAGAAUUCUGUAAGAUAGUUAUUUUUUUAGUAAUGUCGCCACUUUCUCGCGUAGAUAUCGGCAGUCCCCUGUCCGGUGGCCGUUGGUCCCUUGAUAAUAGCACCACAAGUUAGGAUCCCUCAAACUGCGAUCAGAUCUUAUCAACUUUGGGAAUCGUGCUUCCUUAAUAUUCCUCAUAGCCAAUACCAGCUCCACUACACUGACGUUGAAGUUGUAUUCGGAAAGCCUGGGGUAGGAUGAACCUGAUAUCUCCUUAUCCUGCAAUGACCUGUUAUUCCGUCCGCGAUCAGCUCUUCUUUCGAUUUCGAAUCUAUCCGCUGACCGAAAACCUUUACCGCAUCCUUCGGCCCUUUCAUAGGGCAAAAACCGACCUCUUGAAGACCGUCGAUCUGCGUCGAAAUCACCUUUUGACUUUUCUUUAUUCUUUUCCCGGUCCCGACACUUGGUUGAUGUCGGGAAACCGAGCUGAUCAUCCUCAAUUCUUAUCUUUGAUUCGUACCGGUUGUGAACAUCCCCCCAUGUUGUUGCCUGGAACUCGAGCAAACUUUUUUCAAUUUCCGAGAAGCGUAUGAACUUAUUGGAUUCAGACCUUUAGUGAAUGCUUCAGCUGCCCAUUCGUCUGGUACGACCGGUAGCAACAUCCUUUCCUUUUGGAAUCUGGUCACAAACUCAAGCCGCAAUUCAGACUCUCCUUGUGUAAUCCUGAAUAUGUCUGCCUUUCGGGCCUGUAUCUUCCUAGCCCCGGCAUGGGCCUUGAUGAAAGAGUCCGCGAGCAUCUCAAAGGAGUCUAUGGAGUUCUCAGGCAAAAGUGAAUACCAUGGCAGGUCUCCCUUUGUAAGGGUCUCCCUGAAUUUCUUCAGUAAGACUGACUCAAUCUCUUGGGGAGCUAAAUCGUUCCCCUUCACCGCCAUUGUAUAUUUGGUGAUGUGCUCCUGAGGAUCCAUCAUACUUCGGCACGUCUGGCAUUUUGACCCACUUCGGGAUCAACUCUAGUGUCGUUCUUGGUUUGAACGGCAACUGGGUAUACUUCUUUGAGUCUGGUCCUUUCAACACUGGUGGUGUGUUCGGAUUUUGAUCCAUUCGAGCAUUUAUUUUUCUCAUAAACCGCAUGAGUUCGAUUUUAAAGGGAUUACUCUCGUUGUUGUUACCAGAAUCGCUACCGUUCCCCCUGGCCCCAUCGAAACCGACCUCGCUCCUCGGGGUAUUGUUGUCGACCCUCUACGUUGUUUGAUUUGCGGGAGCACCGGGAGGAACUGGACCUCGUCCACUUGCGUUGUUGGAAGCACCUGACAACGCAUGAUUCAACUCCGUCAUGACCUAAUUCUGUUGUGUGAGAUGGCCUAUAAUGGCCUUUUGUUGCUCUCUCAAGAUCCUUACUGUUUCAACGACGUGCUCGUCUUCAGCAUCAUUAGGAGUCGCCUCUCAAACAUGUCGCGGAUAUUGUCCGCCAUGGACCGACGUGGCCUCGUCCCCCUCGUUGCAGGUAUCAUAGAUUGAAUCUUCGUGCUGGGUCUAAUUUCCUUGGGCCUUAAUGUUAUGCACGAUGUAGACACUGUUAUCUGCCAUUUUCUAUGAUUUUUGCUAAGAAGAAAUAAUCAAAUGAGUUAGUAAUAGAUGUAAGGAUCAACUCAAUUACACAACUGUCUAAGUUCCACGGUGGGCGCCAAACUGUUUACCCGUAAAAUAAUACAAUUGAAUUUAUAUAUGGUUUAUAGACAAGUGAAUCGAUUUGAUCCUAAUGAUAAAUAAAUUAGACAAAAAUAUAAGAUUUAGCCUUAAAGUUGAGAUAAAAUGACAGAAAUCGUAGUUCCAGGAGCAGAGCUUCCGGAGGCAGUAAUAACAAUAUAAAUAAGCAAGAAGGUAAAAUUAUAUUGAGCUUUGAACAUAGUAUAGUAUAUGUUUGUCAGAAAAUUCGUGUCCCUUACAAUGAUUGUAGAACUCACUAUUUAUAGUUGCACCUAGGGAACAAGGUACUAGGAUCAAGCCCUACUUUAAUGACAAUUAUGAAGGCCAUUGAAGAAUGUGUAACGGUAGGCAGUGAAUGUCAUAUUCUCUGUAACGGAUCAUAUACUUAAUGCUUUAAAAUAUUCUCCACUAAAUGUAACUGGGGUGGCAUGCAUUUAUUUCUCCUUUAUGAAUGUCAUUCUCUCCGAUAACAAACGAGAUCGUUGCAUUCGGACCCGACUGUCUUCUGUCUUCAGCUCCACAUAUCACUUUCUCAUGCGAUCAUUUAAUAUGGACAUACUUUACCCUGUACAUUUUUAACGUGAGUAUUAGAUACCGAGUGAGAAAUAAAAAUAAGUUUGUUCUAUUUAAAAUGAAUGAAAGAAUAGAAUCCAGCAAGAAAUAAUUAAUGAAACAGAAUUCAAUAAGAAAUAAAGGAAAAAUAAAGGAAAGGAAAUACAAAUAACAUACAUAGUCAUACAUAUGAUAAGAUCAUCACAAAAUAUUAAUAUGGUAACACCUUAACACACAUUUAUUUAUUCAGAAUAAAGAUAGUAACUUUAAUUUUACAAGUGACACAAAGCUUAGAAGGAGCAAGUAACAACAACAACAUACACAAUUUAUUUUUACAAGUGAAGCCUGGGGAGGGUAGUGUAUACACAGACUUUAUUCCUAUCUUGUGCAGAUAGAAAGACUAUUUUCGAUAGACCAUCGGCUCUUAGAAGGUGCAAGUAACAACAACAAUAACAAGAAAAACAUACCCAGUGUUUUUCUACAAAUGGGGUCUGAGAAGGGUAGUGUGUACGCAGACCUUAAUCCUGCCUUGUAUCGAUAGAAAGAUUAUUUCCGAUAGAAACUCAGCUCUCAGAAGGAUCAAGUAGGCAAAAAAGGAACAUAGAAAAUAUCAUAUGAGAUUGAUUCAAAUUGGGUUAAUUUGGAGCCAUGCAACUCUUAGACGACCUCCAACGCAUACUCUUUCGACAUUGUGAACACAUUUUCUGUACAUUGCAUUCUGCACUAGAUUUGCAAGGGGAGAAACAUCUGCCUUUUAAUGAGGUAAGAUCUGGGAUUAGAAACUGCUCAAUCAUCUGUAUCUCUAAAGGUAGGACUCGCAUAGCCAUCACUUGAAUGUUUGAAUGAACUGCAUAACAUGUAAAAAUCAAAUUGUUAAUUGUCCAUCCAACUGCUUAAACUAAAAAUAGUCGACGAAAUGUAUAUAUAUAAUCCAUAUGUAUACAUCUGUACAGGGGCGUACGCAGGAAUUUUUAUAAGCGGUAUCGAAAUUUAUAUAAGAACGAGAAUAAUAACUUUAAUUAUUGCACAAGAAAUAGCCUUAUUCUAUUGAUUUUGUUGAGUCUUUAGUUAGAAAAGGUCCUGAGUUCAAUUCUAAUUCAAUCACAAUUUUUAACCAUAAGGGCUCUCUUAAAUAUUUGCAAAAAAAAAAAUGUGUUAGUUGAGGUUCGAACCUUUGACAUCUAAAAGCAAAAUCAAGCACAUAACUGACGUACCAAGAAAUAAUUUAUGUCAAGUGGUGUCAUUUUUUCCUUCUUUAUCUGUGUCCUUACGAUAUUAAUAUAUAUAGUAAAAAAAAAAAAUCGAUGAAGCAGUGUCGCGUGCCACCACUUCAUUAAACGUGCAUCCACCCAUGCAUCCAUGUAUAAUCAGUGUAUAAUUUAUGUAUAUCGGCUAACGAAAAGUAAAUAAUGAAUUCGACUGACUAUUUUUGUAAAGAUUAUAUAUUUUUUAACAAAGAAACUAAUGGAUGAUCAAGUAACCUACCAGCCAAUACUACAAGGAGAAGGCCAAAAGAGAAAGCAAGCUUGUGAGAUAGGCACAUCUUAGCCAUGUUAACACACUUUCAACUAUCUUAUGAUUAUGGUAAGAAGAAUAAGAGGAGGAGGAGCUAAUUGUGUGAGUGCAUUUUCUUGCUUGAUGAAAGACCCUAUAUAUAGGCUUUUAAAAUUUUUUAAAUAUAAA